rnacentral:lncRNA from 1 species
CCCAGAGCCAGACAUAGAUGAUUUAAAAAUGGCAAUCUAAAAAAAAACAAACAAAAAAUAGCAAUCUAUUUCCAAUUCCCAAUAAGUGUUACAUGAGUUACAUGUUUUCCAUCUUUUUCUUAAAAUUUUGCUUCUCUUGCUGCUUGUCUGUGAGUCAGCAUGAAUAUGAAUGAAUAAGUGGCAAACGAACUUACUAAAAUCACUUGGAAGCAUCUGGUUUUACUUGGCUCAGCACCUUGGUGNUUUUUUUUUUUUUUGUAUUAUUGUUUUUCUUUGUAAAUAUUUACUUACAUCCUCCUUACAUCGUCCUCAGUGUCAGAAGCAAUGACCCAUCUCUGUGCACUCAUCAAUUCCAGCAUCUUGCUCCAUCCAUCACUCCUCUCCCUUCUACUGGCUUCUUCCCCUCAGCAGCAUAAAAGCUUCUUCCACACAUCAGACAGACAAAAAUAACAUCUCUUCAACCCUGAAAUUUCUACGGCUCCUGAACUCUCUCACCUUCCCUUCCAGGCAAACAACUAGAAAGCAUCAUCUAAAGGCCCCAUUUUUUUCCUUCCUCUUCUCCCAUCCACUCUUAACACCCUGACACUCACUUCACUGACUUCUUCCUCUUAACCGAAGGGUCCUCAAUAACCUCUGCAAGUGAUUUCUAGAUGGAAAAAAGACGGCUGACAUCCCGCAAUGUACUUUUUUCUCUUACAGAAGUGUUGCUCUUGAAAUAUCACCCAUAGCACGAAAUUUCAUGUGCAAACUUCCAAGGCUGCUUCUGCAUGUUACCCUAGGGAGCAGGUUCAGCUUAAUGAGGUGUUAAUACGUCAACCUUCCUUCCUCCUUCCGUCCUUUCCUUCUUAAUAAUCUUGGAAAGAGGAAAGGAAGGAAGGGAGGAGGGUGGAAAGGGAAAGAAGAAAUCUCCAUUUAAUGAAUAUUUACUGAAGGUCAGCCUCUGCCAGGCACUGUCUCAAGCUAGGGCAGUGAACAUGGAGACGAGAACUCUUGCCCCUUGGGGAUUACAUUCUGGUGUCAAUCUCAAAUAAAAUACAAUGUCCUAUUAGUAAAAGCUUACCCAUAAAUACCACAAUGGUAUUUUCGAAUGGAUUAUUUUUAAUUUUUUUAAUUAAAAUAUAUUUUUACAAUGCUGUGUUGGUUUCUGCCAUACAACAAUGCAAAUCAGCCAUAAUUAU